GCGGUAAGGGAUUUUGUCGUUGGGUGGGGGAGUAAACCCUUGGGAAACUGGGGCUAAUACCGCAUGAAGCCUGUGGGCCAAAAGUCAGAGAAUGCGCCUGAUGAGGGAGACCUGCGUCCGAUUAUGCUACGUUGGUUGGGUAGAGGCUGACCAAGGCGUCGAUCGGUAGGCUGGUCUGAGAGGAUGGAUCAGCCACACUGGGACUGAGACACGGCCCAGACUCCGUACGGGAGGCCAGCAGUUGGGGAAAUAUUGGACAAUGGGCGCAAGCCUGAUCCAGCAAUGCCGCGUGGAUGAAGA
rnacentral:rRNA from 1 species